rnacentral:rRNA from 1 species
UACGGAGGGGGCGAGCGUUAUUCGGAAUUAUUGGGCGUAAAGGGCGCGUAGGCGGCUUUCUAAGUCAAAGGUGAAAUCCCUCGGCUCAACUGAGGAACUGCCUUUGAAACUGGCAAGCUUGAGGCCGGGAGAGGGUAGCGGAAUUCCCAGUGUAGCGGUGAAAUGCGUAGAUAUCUGGAGGAACACCGGUGGCGAAGGCGGCAUCCUGGACCGGCAUUGACGCUGAGGCGCGAAAGCCAGGGGAGCAAACGGG